rnacentral:lncRNA from 1 species
GCGCAGAGCGCGUGCCAGGGCGGGGGAUGGCGAGGGCGCGCCAAUGGAGGGGGCGGGGCUCAGCAACCUCGCGGCGCGGAAGGGUUUCGUUGCUAGGGAGAUGGGCUGAGCCGGGCGGGCAUCGCGCCAGACCUGCUACUCUGGAUAAUCCACUCUCCUGGAUAAUCCACUACCCUGGAUAAUCGGCUGCCCGCUUUUGCGCAUGUUAGGGAGUUGACGGCCUGUAGCAUUCUGAUGCAGCAAAAUAUUUCGCAGGGUCUGUCAUAGGGAUCUCCGGUGAGAGGAGGUUCCCUUCGAAGGCAGAACUGGAAACCUUGCUGCUAACUUGGUAGGGUUGUUGAGAUAAUUACAUGAGAUGGCAUAUGAAGGGCGGCUUAGUUCAAUACCUGGCAUGUAGUAGGUGUUCAGUGGGCGUAGUUACCGGAUUGAUUCAGAUAGUCUGAACGCCAGUGUCUCUUGAAAGAAAUAAACUGGCCGGGCGUGGUGACUGUAAUCCCAGCACUUUGGGAGGCCGAGGUGGGCGAAUCACUUGGGGUCAGGAGUUUGAGACCAGCCUGGCCAGCGUGGUGAAACCCCGUUUCUACUAAAAAAAAAAAAAAAAAUACAAAAAUUAGCCGGGCAUGGGGGCGGGCGCCUGCAAUCCCAGCUGCUUGGGUGGCUGGGCGGGCUCCUGCAAUCCCAGCUACUCGGGAGGCUGAGGCAGGAGAAUCGCUUGAACCCCGGGGUCGGGGGCGGAGGCGGAGGUUGCAGUGGGCCGAGAUCACGCCAUUUUCUGGGCGAGAGAGCGAGACUCCGUCUCAAAAAAAAAAAAAAAAACCAUGAAAGAAAUAAGCUCAGUGAAGGCGGGCAUUCUGCCUGGCUAACGCAGGUCGCUCCUUGCCGUGCCUGGAACAUUACUGUAAGUGCUCAGCAAACUACUUUAAGGUAGGAAUAAAAUCUGCAAGGUUGCUUUUGUUUAAAUUGGAUAACCUUUUGUGUUCCAAGUCUUUGGAGUAAUUUUGUGUUCCAAGUCUUUGGAAUAAUUGUGUCCUUAAUUAUUAUACUAGUCACUGUUAAAUUUUGAAACUCCAGUGCGUCCCAUGAAGGUAAUGAUACAAAACAUUUCCAGCUGGGAUUGUUCCAGGGAAUCCAGACUAAUCAAUUAUCUGGGCUCAUUAUAUCUAUGGAUCUUUAUUUUUCACCUCUUUCCUUAUGUUUUUCUUAAUCCUUCUAGCUGAUAGUGAUCACUCCCUUUAAAACUGUCAUUCUUAAAAUCAGAACAACAUAGUUUAUCAUUUACUUAUUAUUUUCUUCAUGUGAUUGUUCUCCUUAAUUAAGAAUAAAAUCAUUGAAGGAAAGACCUUAAUUUUUUUUUUUUUGUACCCUUCAGGGUGUUGAAAGCAGCAGGGGCCUAGAAGACAUUAAACCGAUACCACAGAAAUACAAAGGAUCAUUAGAGACUAUUAUGAACAACUAUAUGCCAACAAAUUGGAAACCAAAUGGAAAUGGAUAAAUUCCUGAACAGAUACAACUUACCAAAAUUGGACCAAGAAGAAAUAGAAAACCUGAAAAGACCAACUAUGAGUAAUGAGAUUAAAUCAGUAAUAUAGAGUCUCCCAUCAAAGAAAAGUCCAGGCCCUGAUGGCUUCACUGCUGAAUUCUACUGAACAGUUAAAGAAGAACUCAUACCAGUUCUCAAACUCAUCCUGUGAGGGCAGCAUUACCCUGAUACCAAAACUAGAUAUGGACACAAGAAAAAAAAUCUAUAGGCCAGUAUCCCUGAUGAACAUAGAUGCAAGAAUCCUCAACAAGACCAGGUGUGGUGGUUCAUGCCUGUAAUCCCAGCACUUUGGGAGGCCAAGGCAGGUGGAUCACCUGAGGUCAGGAAUUUGAGACCAGCCUGGCCAACAUGGCAAAACCCUGUCUGUACUAAAAAUACAAAAAUUAGCCGGGCAAGGUGGCGUGUGCCUGUAAUCCUAGCUACUUGGGAGGCUGAGGCAGGAGAAUUGCUUGAACCUGGAGGGAGGAGGGGCAGAAGUUGCAGCGAGCUCAGAUCGUCCCACUGCACUCCAGCCUGGGUGACAGAGUGA